AAAUAAAAUCUUUUGCAAUGACGUAAACAUCCACUCGCAUACUUUAGUCAAUUACCAUGUUACCCCUCGUGUCAAAGUCAUUCAUGAAUCAUGCGAAAGCCAGAGAUUCAGAUCUGAGGUUUUGAGGCAACAAUGUCGAAAAUCCCAACUCAGGAAUGAGGCAUCUAGAGAGAGGGUAACGAAUGUUUCUCCUCGCCUGUGAUUUCCAAUACAACCACGAUCACCUAUUUGUUUUUGCUCACACGGUCAUCUGGGUCGGAUCCCAGUGCUUGAUUGUGUGUGUAACUGAGAAACCGAAAUUUUCUUGGCUAGGCGAAGCCUUCAAUCCAUCAAACGUUUACCCUGGGAUUUGAACCUACGACCUUCGAUCCAGUUACUGAAGGCUGUGAUGAUGAUCAGCUUCCCCAAGUUGGUACCGGCUUUGAGAUGACCCGACCCGUAUCUUGGCGGGGCAAACCCGGUGUUUGCAGCCAUGGCGUGGCGGCGUCUCCAUCUCUCUGUCUGUGCCUCUUCCAGAUCUGCUGAGCCUUCUCACCAUUUUCAACCAAACAAAACCUGUCGUCUCUGCGCGUUUUACACACAUUGCUGGAAUCCAUCCGGGCAGACCCGUAUCUUGGCGGGGCGACCCGGUUGGUAUCUGUUUUUUGGUGAUCUUUUCCACCUCUGCAGAUGCGACCGCCGGUUCUGCAGCCAUCUCGGGGCCCACCCGGAUCUCGACCCGUAUGAAGGAAAUCGGCAUUGGAUAUGUUAUGAUUUCUUGAUCCAAUUACGAUGCAAAUAAUAAUAAUAGUAAUAAUUAUUAUUCGAUUUUCGUCUGCGAGAUUUGUGAAGAAGAGGGGCUAUGACGAUAGUUUCGGGUGUUAAAAAGCCCGACCCAUUUCUUGGCAGGGCAGCCCGGAUGGCAUGUUGUAUGCAACCGGUGAUAUUGCAGUCAUGUCCUGUUUGCACAUUUCCAUAUCCGAGCCUCCAAUUUUUAAUUUUUUUAUAGAUUGGGAAUUUAACAAAU